rnacentral:rRNA from 1 species
UACAGAGGUCUCAAGCGUUGUUCGGAUUCAUUGGGCGUAAAGGGUGCGUAGGCGGUGUGGUAAGUUGGAUGUGAAAUCCCGGGGCUUAACCCCGGAACUGCAUUCAAUACUGCCUUGCUAGAGUACUGGAGAGGAGAUUGGAAUUCACGGUGUAGCAGUGAAAUGCGUAGAUAUCGUGAGGAAGACCAGUGGCGAAGGCGAAUCUCUGGACAGUAACUGACGCUGAGGCACGAAGGCUAGGGGAGCAAACGGG